AGUCUAUUGAUUAUUUGAAAUUAUUAUUUUAAAAAUGUUUAUAAGUAAAGUUUAAUUUGUUUUUAGUCUACUGAUUAUUUGAAAUUAUUAUUUAAAAAAAAUGUUUUAUAAAUUGUUGGGUCUCCCAAGUGGUUUCACAACUUAGAGGAUCUGACAGAGGGUACAGAACUUCUACGCUCUCCAAUCUAACUUUUAGAGAUCACAGACCUUUCUGCAGAACAAGGUCAGACUAUACAUAUCUGGCAGUAGUGUCUAGGGAAUCGAAAUCAAUCAGCAUUAGACAACAGCAUAGUGAUUAUUUCAGAUGACAAGUGUCUUGAAACAUCGGUGCAAGGCUUAAGAACAACAGAACGAUCUGACUCCGACCAAAGGCCUACCGCUUUAGUACAUCCAUGGCCUAAACCAAUUCCUCGAAUUGCGGGUUCCAUAGUCACCCCACAGACUCUCUUGGAAUCAAAUUAAGCACAGAAUCAAGGCUUCACCGACUUCAUAUCACGCUGACAUUUGUUAGCAUUAUAGCUUCCGCUAUUCCCCUGUUUUGCCCCGACUACUACCUUCUCCUCCUUUUUCUCCUCCACGAUCGCUUCUCUUCCCAACUCCACUCACCUCUGUGCACAGCAUCAUCUGCCUCCAGCUCCGGCUCACAGUCUCCUCCGAAAAAGCUGAGUAUUCUCCACUCUCCCUCUUUCCACCCGCUUUCAGUUCUCAGUUCUCAAUAAACAUACCCCUUCUGGGGUUUAAAUCCACUUACUACGGUAAGCUACUUUUUAUUUGCAUAAGAUGAUAAGACGCAAUAUAACACCUGCACAUUAUAUAAAGGUAGUUUUAACAUUAAUUUUCCUAAAAUAAACACUUGAGUCAGAGUCAGGUCAAAUAAGACUGUUAUGGUGUUCUCACCCUUAAGCCCAAGGAUUCUGAACUUCGUCAACGUUUUCUCGGUCUCAGAUUAAAACUGAAUUAGAUUUGUCAUUAGAAUUAGCAUUAACCUUCCCUUACUGAUUAAAAUCAAAUGUACUUAAUGAUUAGGUGCAUGGAAAGCAAAUGUUUCAAAAAAAUCACUCUUACACACCCCACACACCCCUCACACACACACUUCACCCUUCUGCCAUCCAGAAAGAAGUACCGAAGCAUUCAGACCUGCACAACCAGACUGUUGAACAGCUUCUUCCCUCAAGCAAUCAGGUAUCUCAACAGAGAACUGAACUGUGCUGGACACAGACACAGACACCUUUGGUCUAGGAGGAACAUUGUUUCACUUCACUGUGUACUGCAUCAGCUAUAUAUGGUUGAAGUGACAAUAAAGCUUUUUUGACUUUGACUUUUGACUUGACUCAAAUGUGUCCUUGACAGCUUCAUGAGAUUUUCUGAGUAAUUUUUCAUUUCAAUCCUUUUUUUCUCUAGUUGUUUAGGGUUUGCUUUAUUUCAUACAUCUCCUGAUUGAGUUCUCUCAUCUUGUGUAAGUCUCUCUAAGUUUUCAUCCAGACUCUGUAACCCUGAACCAGCUGCCUGUUCUGACUGCUCCAGGAACUGAUGAGACUGCACUAUCUGCUGUCUGAUGUAGUCGUAGUUGGAGCAUUUCCCAGUUACAGGAUCGAUCUACAUCUGCUUUAACCAGGGCCUCAUAGACUUUAUUCAGGGAGGAAAUACCACCUUUCAGUGGAAUUAUAACAGCCUCAGCUGUGUUCAUCAGCACAACUCUGCAGAGACAAACAAAACAUUUCAACACAGAAAAUAAAAAAGCAUUAAAAAUUAAAGUAGAAAAAUUAGAUUAUUUUAAUUUAUUCAUUUCUGAAAAACAAUAUUUAUUGUUGUAUUUUUCAUGCAAUUGCUUUUAAAAAGUGAAUUAAUUGUUAUGAAUCCUUUCUCUGUGAAUUCUGGAAUUUAAUUCACUCCAAUGAAGAAAGAUGGACCAUCUUAAACUGAAACAGAGAGUAAAAGUGUUAUAGGGAAAGAAACUCCUAGCUGAGCAUGAGAUUAUAAUAAAAAUCUCUUUAGCCAUCUGUCAUUUCUUACACGAUUUUAUUAACUAAAAGUCCUCUAUAGAUCAAAAGUAUAAUAAAUAAACACAUGCUCAGUCUUGACACUAAAAUACUAUUCUGUGAAUCUUAAAGACAAGAUUGUUCUGUUUUUCUCUCUUUAGUUUCUUAUAUAAUGUCAAUCAUUUUAUUUGUACCAUUUAAAUGCUCAAAUAAAAGUGCUCAAGUUAUUACAUAUUUAAACACAAUAAAAAAGAAUACAGCACUCAGAAAGACAGCAUGCUACAUGAUUACCUCGUCACAGGGUUUCUUAAAGAUAGAUCUGCUACUAAAGUGUGAAAGUUUACCUCCAUUGCUGUUCUGCCUCUUCUGGCUCACUGCAGGCAGUUAUGUGAGAGUAAUAAGAUGAGCUCCUUUUAAGCAUGUAUCAGAGAUGGGAGGGUGAAAUGGUGAAUGAGUAUUAGAUCAUAAUAAUUCAGGGACUUUCUGUUUAUUCACCUUGCACCAUUUGGUUCGCAGAGCAGACAGAGUCUCCACACCUUUAGUGAAGACAUUCAGGAUAUCAGGGUAGGAAGAGGGACACUGUUCUCAACAAUUUCUGUUGAAGAUUUAAGAAGAAGCCUUUAUUUUUGUCACAUAUAAAUUACAACACAGUGAAAUUCUUUCUUUGUAUAUCCCAGAUUUGGAAGUUGGGGUUAGAGCUCAGGGUCAAGAUGCAGUGCCCCUGGAGCAGGAAGGGCUAAGGGCCUUUCUCAAGGGCCCAACAGUGGCAGCUUGCUGGGGCUCAAACCCCAACCUUCUGAUAAACAACCUAGAACCUUAACAUCGUGAGCUACCACCACCUCUAUUUUUAUGUAACGCCGAUGCUCUGCUCACUAUAUAGAGCAGAACAUCAGGUUACUAAUAGUUAGUCUCUCAAGUCUCUCAAGUGCCCCAUAACCCGUUUCUUUCUAGAAAGUAAAACUCAAAACGAAUAAAUAACAAUUAACAGAAUGUAUUUACAAAUGAUAAAGAUAGAUUAACACAAAUAUAUACUUAAUCGUAGAAAAAGAAAAGAAAUUGAUAGACCAAGUUCUAUGUAAAAAAAAAAAAAAAACAGCAUAAAAAACUCAAAUUUAGUUAUAUAAAAUUAUACACAAACUCAAGUAUUAAAUACUUAAAGAAACGGUAGUGUAGCAUCACAUACACUACACCAAUCUGGGCCCACACACACACACCAGUCUCACCACCCCACCCUGUUGAAGGCCUGAGGCAUAGCUAAGUGCGUUGUGGCUUAAGAAAACACAAAUGCCCACUUCACUCUUAAAAAGCCAAUUCAAAUAAUACAAAUCCUCUUUCUGUAGGUUCAAGCAAACGAUGUCCUCAAGCCGCUCACAGACCUGCUGAAACACAGUCCUUCACAGCAUGCAACGAACAUCAGCAAACUUCCUCUCUCAUAAUGCCAGAGGAAUUCUAAACCAUGCAGGUAUAAGGAAUUCUAACAGGCUCCUUUGAACAGUCUUUCAUCAAAUAAUGAAAUAAACAAGCUCCCAAAAUGUCUAAAGCAGUGGUUUUCAAACGUAUAUAAGCGCGAUUCAACUUGUUUUGUUCUUUUUGGUUAAAAGUGAGAAUCCAGUAGCAAUGAAAUGCUAGCUUUGCUCAGCAUCGGUUACUCGGUGGAGAGGAUAAUCCAGAACAAAGAUAAUAAAUGUUCUUUUAGCUAGGCAACUCACGAACUGGCGUGAAUGUUGGCAGGAAACAACUAAACUGUUAUCCAGAGUAAAAUUACACAAAAAAGCAAACACUUGCAGUGAAAUGAAGAAACUCAAAUUAAUUGACUAGUUAGUAACUAAAGACUCUGUCUUCCUUUUGUCUCAAACUAAGUACAUCCUUUAUUGAGCAACUAACACCAAUAAACGAACAACAAACGAACAACAAACCUGGCUAUUCUGAGUCUAAUUGGACAAAAGCAAUGGUGAUUUCAAAAUCGCCAGAAGUCAUGCAGUGUGAAAGGAGCUCUGACUGAAAAACACCUCAGCAAUGACCUACAGCCAAUGAGAGAGCGAGAUACAGG